GCACAGAUGCUGAGAUGUUGAAAAAUCUAUUUUGCUGCGUUAUACUUUUAGGAGUAUUUUCUUUCUCUGUAUAUUUUUGGUAUCAUUUGAACUACUCAAAUGUAACAGAUUUGAUUAAAGGUUAUAAAGAUUUGCUGUACAUUUCAAAGGAUAACCGAAGUGAAGAUGGAUUAAAGUCAGAUGUUUACAGUCAUGUUCACAUUGAUUUAGACUUAUGGAAAACCAGAAUAUUGAAGGAAAAUAAUGUAACUACAGCAACCAACAUCUCCAAGGCCACCCUUGUGACCAAAGCAUUAAACAAAUGCCCAGAUCCCUCGCCAUUUCUUGUGGGUCCAACAAGGGUUGAGUUCUCUACACCUGUCAGUUUGGAUACAGUCAUUAAGGAGAACCCACAUCUGCAGGUCGGAGGUCGCUACAAGCCAGACAACUGCGUCGCCCUUCAGAAGGUUGCUGUCAUCAUUCCCUUCCGUAAUCGUGAGGAACACCUCAAGUUUUGGCUCCACUACCUCCAUCCUUUCUUACAGCGCCAACAGCUGGACUACGGCGUCUAUGUUAUUA